AUUGAACGCUGGCGGCAUGCCUUACACAUGCAAGUCGAACGGUAACAGGUCUUCGGAUGCUGACGAGUGGCGAACGGGUGAGUAAUACAUCGGAACGUGCCCGAGAGUGGGGGAUAACGAGGCGAAAGCUUUGCUAAUACCGCAUACGAUCUCAGGAUGAAGGCAGGGGACCGCAAGGCCUUGCGCUCACGGAGCGGCCGAUGGCAGAGUAGGUAGUUGGUGGGAUAAAAGCUUACCAAGACGACGAUCUGUAGCUGGUCUGAGAGGACGACCAGCCACACUGGCACUGAGACACGGCCCAGACUCCGACGGGAGGCAGCAGUGGGGAAUUUUGGACAAUGGGCGCAAGCCUGAUCCAGCCAUGCCGCGUGCAGGAUGAAGGCCUUCGGGUUGUAAACUGCUUUUGUACGGAACGAAAAGACUCCUUCUAAUAAAGGGGGUCCAUGACGGUACCGUAAGAAUAAGCACCGGCUAACUACGUGCCAGCCGCCGCGGUAAAAC
rnacentral:rRNA from 1 species